UACGGAGGGUGCAAGCGUUAUCCGGAUUCACUGGGUUUAAAGGGUGCGUAGGCGGGUAGGUAAGUCCGUGGUGAAAUCUCCGAGCUUAACUCGGAAACUGCCGUUGAUACUAUUUGUCUUGAAUAUUGUGGAGGUAAGCGGAAUAUGUCAUGUAGCGGUGAAAUGCUUAGAUAUGACAUAGAACACCAAUUGCGAAGGCAGCUUACUACACAACGAUUGACGCUGAGGCACGAAAGCGUGGGGAUCAAACAGG
rnacentral:rRNA from 1 species